rnacentral:tRNA from 1 species
GAGAGUGUAGCUUAGUAGUAGAGUGCAUGCCUAGCAUGCAUGAAGCCCUGGGUUCGAUUCCUCAGUACCA